UAUUGCUCUUCAACGAGGAAUCCCUAGUAAGCGCAAGUCAUCAGCUUGCGUUGAUUACGUCCCUGCCCUUUGUACACACCGCCCGUCGCUACUACCGAUUGAAUGGCUCAGUGAGGCUUUCGGACUGGCCCAGAGAGGUCGGCAACGCAACUUCAGGGCCGGAAAGUUAUCCAAACUCGGUCAUUUAGAGGAAGUAAAAGU
rnacentral:rRNA from 1 species